UCUUUUGAGAAUGGUCACCGUAAGUGGCAUGAUUUGGUAACCGGAGGUCCUGAGCACAAAGGUUCUCAAACCUGAACAGAUAUCGGAACCACCCACCUGGAGGGCUGGGCACACUGAUUGUUUCCCGAGUUUCUAACUGAAUUCCCAAGAUUAACUGGCGUUCUGUAGGUCGGCACAAAGUCGUGGCUUUGCCAUCUGACGGAGGACGCGCAGCGGUCGUCUCUGGCUGGGUAGACUGAGACCUGAACGCUGAGGGACUUAGGACCAGCAGUGCCGUCCAGGCCUGGCUGCAGACGGAAACUACUUCAAGAUAAGCUCCACCAAAAAUAGAGAGGAAAUCAAGAAGAUUAAGACGCAGGAUCCAGCGCAACGCUCCAGCACAGGAGAGACCAAAAGAACGUUUGACAAUCCACUGACUUCCUAGAAAACAGAAGAGUGGGCUGGGCAUGGUGGCUCACGCCUGUAAUCCCAGCACUCUGGGAGGCUGAGGUGGGUGGAUUACCUGAGAUCA
rnacentral:lncRNA from 1 species